GUGCCAGCCGCCGCGGUAAUACAGAGAGUGCAAACGUUGUUCGGAAUUACUGGGCUUGAAGCGCUCGUAGGCGGCAUCGUAAGUGUCGGGUGAAAUCCCACGGCUCACCCGUGGAACUGCCCGGCAUACUGCGGUGCUAGAGUGUGGUAGGGGAGAGCGGAACUCCUGGUGGAGCGGUGAAAUGCGUAGAUAUCAGGAGGAACACCGGUGGCGAAGGCGGCUCUCUGGUCCACAACUGACGCUGAGGAGCGAAAGCUAGGGGAGCAAACGGGAUUAGAUACCCGCGUAGUCC
rnacentral:rRNA from 1 species